rnacentral:rRNA from 1 species
ACGAGAUAGGAGUCCGUCUCGUGGGCUCGGAGAUGUGUAUAAGAGACAGAUACCGAUGGAAGAAUGGUUUAAUAUUCCCAUACUACUUUAUGGAGCGAUGUGGAGACGGAGAAGUGAAAGUCCUGCCAUCUGACGGAAUAGGUGGUUGAAGAGUGUAGAUGUAGAUUCCUGUAGGCAAAUCCGCAGGGAGAGUCGACCUUGAUAGUAUGCCGCGUGCUUGCACAAGGCAAAAUGGACGUAAUCAGGCUCCCAAGAAAAUCCGCUAAGCAUAUUCAUAAAGUACCCGUACCGUAAACGGACACACGUAGUUGGGUUGAAAAUACUGAGGCGCUCGAGUGAUUCACGGUUAAGGAACUAGGCAAAUUGACCCUGUAACUUCGGGAUAAAGGGUCCCAACGAGAGUUGGGCGCAGAGAAUAGGUCCAGGCAACUGUUUAACAAAAACACAGGGCUGUGCCAAAAUGAAAGUAGACGUAUACAGCCUGACACCUGCCCGGUGCUGGAAGGUUAAGAGGAGAUGUCAUCGCAAGAGAAGCAUUGAAUUGAAGCCCCAGUAAACGGCGGCCGUAACUAUAACGGUCCUAAGGUAGCGAAAUUCCUUGUCGGGUAAGUUCCGACCUGCACGAAUGGUGUAAUGAUCUGGACGCUGUCUCAACCGUGAGCUCAGUGAAAUUGUAGUAUCGGUGAAGAUGCCGAUUACCCGCGAUGGGACGAAAAGACCCCGUGAACCUUUACUAUAGCUUAACAUUGAAUUUGGGUAAUUGAUGUGUAGGAUAGGCCGGAGGCUUUGAAGCAGGUACGCCAGUAUUUGUGGAGCCGCUGUUGAAAUACGGCCCUUUGAUUAUUUGAGUUCUAACCCGUUGUUGCGGGGACACUGUUUGGUGGGUAGUUUGACUGGGGUGGUCGCCUCCAAAAGUGUAACGGAGGCUUCUAAAGGUGCCCUCACGACGAUUGGUAACCGUCGGCAGAGUGUAAUGGCAUAAGGGCGCUUGACUGGGAGACUUACAAGUCGAUCAGGUAGGAAACUAGAGCAUAGUGAUCCGGUGUUUCUGUAUGGAAAGGACAUCGCUCAAAGGAUAAAAGGUACUCCGGGGAUAACAGGCUGAUCCCUCCCA